UUUAAUAGUUACUGGAAAUAAACUAUUUCUUUCAAUAAACUAUUUCUUUCUCAGUAUUAAACAGUGCAGUGUAUGCUUUUUGUUAUUGCACUGUGCUACCUGUCUCCUAGUACAUUC